rnacentral:rRNA from 1 species
GACGAACGCUGGCGGCGUGCCUAAUACAUGCAAGUUGAGCGCUGAAGGUUGGUACUUGUACCAACUGGAUGAGCAGCGAACGGGUGAGUAACGCGUGGGGAAUCUGCCUUUGAGCGGGGGACAACAUUUGGAAACGAAUGCUAAUACCGCAUAAAAACUUUAAACACAAGUUUUAAGUUUGAAAGAUGCAAUUGCAUCACUCAAAGAUGAUCCCGCGUUGUAUUAGCUAGUUUGUGAGGUAAAGGCUCACCAAGGCGAUGAUACAUAGCCGACCUGAGAGGGUGAUCGGCCACAUUGGGACUGAGACACGGCCCAAACUCCUACGGGAGGCAGCAGUAGGGAAUCUUCGGCAAUGGACGAAAGUCUGACCGAGCAACGCCGCGUGAGUGAAGAAGGUUUUCGGAUCGUAAAACUCUGUUGGUAGAGAAGAACGUUGGUGAGAGUGGAAAGCUCAUCAAGUGACGGUAACUACCCAGAAAGGGACGGCUAACUACGUG